GGCAGUGGUGGCUGAACGGUUAAGGCUCCGGGUUACGGUUCGGAAGGUCAGGGGUUCAAGCCCCGGCACUAUCA